GACGAACGCUGGCGGCAUGCUUAACACAUGCAAGUCGAACGAGAAGUUCGGGCCUAUUGGCGGAGGGCUGCGUGACGCGUGGGAACCUGCCCUUAAGUUCGCAAUAACUCCCCGAAGGAUGUGUUCAUACCGGAUGAUCUCUUAGGGGCAAAGAUUUAUCGCUUUAGGAUGGGCCCGCGUUGGCUUAGGUAGUUGGUAGGGGAAAAGCCUACCAAGGCGACGAUCCAUAGCUGGUCUGAGAGGAUGCUCAGCCACACUGGGACUGAGGCACGGCCCAGACUCCUACGGGAGGCAGCAGUAUGGAAUAUUGGAGGAUGAGCGCUAGCCUGAUCCCGCAAUGCCGCGUGAGUGAUGAAGGCCUUAGGGUUGUAAAGCUCUCUUUGCCGGGAUGUUAGUGACAGUACCGGGAGAAUAAGCACCGGCUAACUCCGUG
rnacentral:rRNA from 1 species